ensembl:misc_RNA predicted gene, 27520
AUACCAAAAUUCAACCCCAGCAUUAGCCAUGUAUGUAGAUGAUCCUCUGGAGGAAAGUAGAAUUCCACCUCUUGGC